rnacentral:rRNA from 1 species
CCCUUAGAUGUUCUGGGCCGCACGCGCGCUACACUGAUGCAUUCAACGAGUUUCUUCCUGGUCCGAGAGGAAUGGGUAACCUUUUGAAAGUGCAUCGUGAUAGGGAUAGACUAUUGCAAUUAUUGGUCUUCAACGAGGAAUUCCUAGUAGACGUAGUUCAUCAGACUGCAUCGAUUACGUCCCUGCCCUUUGUACACACCGCCCGUCGCUCCUACCGAUUGAAUGCUCAGGUGAGCCAAUCGGACUUUCAUCAUGCUGGUUUCCAGUUUUGAUGAAGGAAAGUCUUGCGAACCUUAUCAUUUAGAGGAAGGAGAAGUCGUAACA